AGGGUUUGAUCCUGGCUCAGAACGAACGUUGGCGGCGUGGAUUAGGCAUGCAAGUCGAACGAAUCUCACCGGUGUAGCAAUACAUUGGUGGGGGAAGUGGCGAAAGGGGCAGUAAAGCGUGGGUAACCUACCCCGGGGAUGGGCAUAGCCGUUCUAACGAGCGGGUAAUUCCCAGCGAUCCGGCGAGGGGGCAUCUUCUUGCCGGGAAAUGAGUUUCGCCUCGGGAGGGACUCACGUGCUAUUAGCUGGUUGGCGGGGUAACGGCCCACCAAGGCAAAGAUGGCUAGCGGGUGUGAGAGCACGACCCGCGCCACUGGCACUGAGACACUGGCCAGACACCUACGGGUGGCUGCAGUCGAGGAUCUUCGUCAAUGGGCGCAAGCCUGAACGAGCGACGCCGCGUGUGCGAUGAAGGCCUUCGGGUUGUAAAGCACUGUCGAGGGGGAUCAAGGGCAACUUGAGUGAUCCCUGGAGGAAGCACGGGCUAAGUUCGUGCCAGCAGCCGCGGUAAGACGAACCGUGCGAACGUUGUUCGGAAUCACUGGGCUUAAAGGGCGCGUAGGCGGCUCGCGAGGUCGGGGGUGAAAUCCCACGGCUCAACCGUGGAAGGGCCUUCGAUACCGGCGGGCUAGAGGAAGGUAGGGGUGCGCGGAACUUCUGGUGGAGCGGUGAAAUGCGUUGAUAUCAGAAGGAACGCCGGCGGCGAAAGCGGCGCACUGGACCUUUACUGACGCUGAGGCGCGAAAGCUAGGGGAGCAAACGGGAUUAGAUACCCCGGUAGUCCUAGCCCUAAACGAUGGGUACUAGGUCGUGGGCCAGUCAUGGGCUCACAGCCGAAGCCAAAGUGUUAAGUACCCCGCCUGGGGAGUAUGGUCGCAAGGCUGAAACUCAAAGGAAUUGACGGGGGCUCACACAAGCGGUGGAGCAUGUGGCUUAAUUCGAGGCUACGCGAAGAACCUUAUCCUAGGCUUGACAUGUGCGAAAGCGCUGGGGAGUAGGCGCGCGAAAGCAUUGCCCAACGGUAUCCAGUCCGGAACCCAGUACAGGUGCUGCAUGGCUGUCGUCAGCUCGUGUCGUGAGAUGUCGGGUUAAGUCCCAUAACGAGCGAAACCCUUGUCUCUAGUUGCCAUCAUUCAGUUGGGCACUCUAGAGAGACUGCCGGUGUCAAACCGGAGGAAGGCGGGGAUGACGUCAAGUCCUCAUGGCCUUUAUGCCUAGGGCUGCACACGUGCUACAAUGGCGUGAACAAAGGGACGCAAGUCCGCGAGGAGGAGCCAAUCCCAAAAAAACACGCCUCAGUUCAGAUCGGAGGCUGCAACUCGCCUCCGUGAAGUUGGAAUCGCUAGUAAUCGCGGGUCAGCAACACCGCGGUGAAUGUGUUCCUGAGCCUUGUACACACCGCCCGUCAAGCCACGAAAGAGGGGAGCGCCCGAAGUCCGCUUCGGCGGCCGAAGGCGAGACCCUUGAUUGGGACUAAGUCGUAACAAAGUA
rnacentral:rRNA from 1 species